GCAGUGUGGCUCAGUGGUAGAAUUCUCAGCUUCCAUAUGGGUAACCCAGGUUCAAUUCCUGGCCAAUGCG
rnacentral:tRNA from 1 species